AUUGAACGCUGGCGGAAUGCUUUACACAUGCAAGUCGAGCGGCAGCGCGGGGGCAACCCUGGCGGCGAGCGGCGAACGGGUGAGUAACACAUCGGAACGUACCCAGUUGUGGGGGAUAGCCCGGCGAAAGCCGGAUUAAUACCGCAUACGACCUGAGGGUGAAAGGGGGGGAUCGCAAGACCUCCUGCAGUUGGAGCGGCCGAUGGCGGAUUAGCUAGUUGGUGAGGUAAAGGCUCACCAAGGCGACGAUCCGUAGCUGGUCUGAGAGGACGACCAGCCACACUGGAACUGAGACACGGUCCAGACUCCUACGGGAGGCAGCAGUGGGGAAUUUUGGACAAUGGGGGCAACCCUGAUCCAGCCAUUCCGCGUGAGUGAAGAAGGCCUUCGGGUUGUAAAGCUCUUUCGGCAGGAACGAAACGGUGGAGGCUAAUACCUUUCAUCAAUGACGGUACCUGAAGAAGAAGCACCGGCUAACUACGUGCCAGCAGCCGCGGUAA
rnacentral:rRNA from 1 species